UACGGCUAUAUUACGUUGAAACUCUGGUUCUCGUCUAAUCACCGAAGUUAAGCAAUGUCAAUCCUGGUCAGUACCUAGAUGGGCGACUUCUUGGAAAUACCAGGUGCUGUAAG